rnacentral:Y_RNA from 1 species
GGCUGGUCCGAAGGUAGUGAGUUGUCUCACUUGAUUGUUCACAGUCAGUUACAGAUUGAACUCCUUGUUCUACUACUUUCCCCCCUCCUCACUAUUGCACUUGACUAGUCUUAA